rnacentral:rRNA from 1 species
AUUACCUCAGUAACGGCGAGUGAAGCGGUAACAGCUCAAAUUUGAAAUCUGGUCCCCUCUGGGGGCCCGAGUUGUAAUUUGAAGAGGAUGCUUUUGGCGAGGCGCCUUCCGAGUGCCCUGGAACGGGACGCCACAGAGGGUGAGAGCCCCGUAUGGUAGGACGCCGAGCCUCUGUAAAGCUCCUUCGACGAGUCGAGUAGUUUGGGAAUGCUGCUCAAAAUGGGAGGUAAACCCCUUCUAAAGCUAAAUAUUGGCCAGAGACCGAUAGCGCACAAGUAGAGUGAUCGAAAGAUGAAAAGCACUUUGAAAAGAGAGUUAAACAGCACGUGAAAUUGUUGAAAGGGAAGCGCUUGCGACCAGACUUGCGCCCGUCGGAUCAACCGUCCCUCGUGGGCGGCGCACUCCGGCGGGCUCAGGCCAGCAUCAGUUUUCCUGGGGGGAGAAAGGCGGUGGGAAUGUAGCUCUUCGGAGUGUUAUAGCCCUCCGCGUAAUACCCCCGGGGGGACUGAGGACCGCGCGAAAGCAAGGAUGCUGGCGUAAUGGUCGUCAGCGACCCGUCUUGAAACACGGACCAAGGAGUCGUCCUAAUAUGCGAGUGUACGGGUGUAAAACCCCUGCGCGUAAUGAAAGUGAACGGAGGUGAGAGCUUCGGCGCAUCAUCGACCGAUCCUGAUGUUCUCGGAUGGAUUUGAGUAAGAGCAUAUUGGGCCGGACCCGAAAGAAGGUGAACUAUGCCUGUAUAGGGUGAAGCCAGAGGAAACUCUGGUGGGAGGCUCGCAGCGGUUCUGACGUGCAAAUCGAUCGUCAAAUAAUGGCAU